rnacentral:miRNA from 2 species
UUCCACAGGCUUUCUUGAACUG